UUGAUUAAAAAAGACAAUAUAACCCUUAAUUGAUUUAACCUAAAAAGUUAUCACUUUCACCAUUCUCUCUUUCUCUCUCGACGGCGAUCUCUCUCAGCCGUGACAAUACAACCGAGAUCCUCACUCUCUAUCACUGAUAUCCACUCUAAAAGAUCUCCUCUUUGUCGAUCUCCUCUCUCUCGAACUCCCCUGGGAACUUGUGUCAGUUGGGAACUGUGGCUGGAAAAUGGAGAUUUGUGAAGUGAAUCGAAGAAUUGAGGACUUGUGAUUUGUGAUUCGAAUUGACUAGCACUGGUUAUGAGCCGGUGGUGAUCUCUAAUAAUUACAGCAAUCUGGUAAAGAAAAAUACAGCAAUCAUAAGAGCAAAGAGAAGUAGGACGAUGCCUACUACUUUGCUUUAGUGCAGAGAAGCUAUUAAUGUAUGGUACACCGCGGGAGGUGUAUGACCCGUAGCGAAGGCUCAUCACAUCUCGCAGAAUACCAGUCUGAUAUUGGAAAGUUUGAGAGAGCAAACAGAAGGAAAAAGCAAGCACAAGCAAGAGUUGUUGAAAUGGCUGAAGACGGUCACCAACAUCAGUUUCAAGAACUUCCUCAAAUACCUCCUGCUGGGAACGCUGCUGCU